GCAUGGGUUUGGAUUUAUGGCAGGCCCGUUCCCCUGAGCCUCUCAUAGUGCCCCAUGCCAGAGCAAAUUGUGGCUCUGAAUCAUUGCCUGGCCUAUGUGUCCAUAGGCUGCUGGCACUGAAGUGGGUUGCAUAGAG